UACGUAGGGUGCAAGCGUUAAUCGGAAUUACUGGGCGUAAAGCGUGCGCAGGCGGUUCGGUAAGAAAGAUGUGAAAUCCCAGAGCUUAACUUUGGAACUGCAUUUUUAACUACCGAGCUAGAGUGUGUCAGAGGGAGGUGGAAUUCCGCGUGUAGCAGUGAAAUGCGUAGAUAUGCGGAGGAACACCGAUGGCGAAGGCAGCCUCCUGGGAUAACACUGACGCUCAUGCACGAAAGCGUGGGGAGCAAACAGG
rnacentral:rRNA from 1 species